rnacentral:lncRNA from 1 species
CUGAGACAGCAGUUGCUGAUACCACAAACACUUAUCUGCUGUUUCUGUGGUCUGGCUGAGCCAAAAAAACCUGUUAAAGCACAGAGCCCACCCAAGACAGGGUAUUUGCAGGAGACCCUGCCAACAGAAAUCGGAUAACAAGGAGCUAAAGAGCCUAGUGGGAGGUGAUUGGAUCAUGGGAGCAGAGUUCUCAUGGAUGGUUUAGCAUUAUCCCCUUGGUGCUGUCUUUGCGGUACUUCUAGCAAGAUCUGGCUUUUUAAAGUAUCAGCUGGAGUUGGCGAUGACUCAGCAGAUCAGGGCUGGAAGACUCAUUCUCGUCAGAUGGUUGACGUUGGCUGUCAGUUGGAACCUCAGCUGGGGCUGUUCGCUGGAACACCUACACACGGCAUGUCCAUGGAGCUACUUGACUUCCUCACUACAAUGGCUGGGUUCCAAGAGCAGUUAUCCCAAGAGAACAAGGCAGAAGUGCAUGACUUUUAGAAUCUUGUCUCACAAGUCACACAGAGUCACUUCCACCAUCCCCUGUUGGUCAAGGAGGACAUGAAGGUCUUCCUAGGAGCAUGGGGAGAAGACAGACUCUACCACCUGAUGGAAGGAGUGUCAGUGUUACAUAGCAAGAGAAGCACAUGGGAUGGGAUGUAUCGUGAUGCCCAUCUUUGGAACAGACAAUUUAGCACAUCUGUGAAAAUUAAAAGUCUGAUUUGGAUAUAACAAU